rnacentral:rRNA from 1 species
GAAAUGCGAUACGUAGUGUGAAUUGCAGAAUUCCGUGAAUCAUCGAAUCUUUGAACGCAUAUUGCGCCCACGGCCUCGGCUAAGGGCAUGCCUGUCUCAGCGUCCGCUCACCCCCUCGCCCACCCUUUCUUUGUUGAAAGCGGUUUGGACGGAUGUGGCCGUCUCGCUCUCCUUUUAAUCGAGGAAGAGCGGGUCGGCUGAAGCGCAGGGCUCGCGGCGGGACCCCAUUCGAUCGGGGCGCCAGCAUGGUAGGUGGCUCACGCUCACAUACUAGCUGUCGUCUCCCAUAUCACCGGGCGCUCCGCCUGCUGCCACAGCAGGAAAAACCAAUCAAACCUUGGACCUGAGAUCAGACA